ensembl:lncRNA
AUGUUCUGUUUCAAUAAACAUGCAUUACAUGCCUCAGCAAAAGAGCUUUCUUCCUCCCUCUACUAUUACCCGCUACAUAAGCGAAGCCUCUCCUCCGAGAGAUGCUUCGCAAAGCGGAAGCUCGGGGAAACCCGAGGAGGUGACUAUGUAUGUUCCCGUGCAAGAAGCCGCGAACGAGUCACCUGCCACUCAUAUAGCGGUCAACGCUUUCCCAGUGGCUGGCGCGCACGCCCCGCCGCAGCAUGCAUUAAUACCCUCCGUAUUGAGUCAUCUCAGCGCGUGGGCGACGCUCCCCGCGGCAUCUUAUUGGGUGAUCAACACGAUAAAACGCGGCUAUACGCUCCAGUUCGCUCGCAGACCACCCCGCUUCGGCGGUGUGAUUAUGACAGAAGUGUCAGAACAGAGCGCCCCGCUGCUACGAGCAGAAAUAUCCUCUCUCCUGGCCAAACAAGCAGUAGAGAUAGUGCCCGUGGAACGGAGAAAUUCCGGUUUCUACAGCCGUUAUUUUCUAGUUCCGAAAAAGGACGGAGGUAUGCGCCCCAUCUUAGACCUGAGAUUACUGAACAAAGCGCUCGCGAAACGCACGUUCAAGAUGAUAACUGUGAAGCAGAUCCUCGCGCACAUUCAGCCCGACGAUUACUUCAUUGCAGUGGAUCUAAAGGAUGCUUACUUCCACAUCCAGAUAGCCCCACAUCACAGGCGCUUCCUGCGUUUUGCAUUCGAGGGUGUGGCGUACCAGUUCAAAGUGUUGCCGUUUGGGCUCGCUUUGGCUCCCCGUGUAUUCACAAUAUGCAUGAAUACAGCGCUCGCUCCCCUGAAGCUCAGUGGAAUGCGCAUACUGAAUUAUCUCGACGACUGGUUAGUCAUCGCACGGUCGAGAAGCGCUCUCGAGGAACACAAACACAGACUCCUCGCCCAUCUGACAGGUUUGGGGCUGUCUGUGAACAUUCAGAAGAGCACACUGCAGCCGCGCCAAUAUAUCACAUUCCUGGGUAUGAUACUGGACUCGCGCUCUAUGACCGCGAAGCUGUCAGAGCCGAGAAUCCAGUCGAUUCAAAAUACACUAGCCCUCUUCGUUCAAGGCAGAGCUAUCCCCUUAAGAACGUUUCAGAGGUUGCUCGGUCUGAUGGCGGCCGCAGCCUCCGUCUGCAGACUGGGCUUGUUACACAUGAGACCGCUUCAACACUGGUUACAGAGCCGAGUGAAGCCGCGGGCGUGGAGAGCGGGAACGGAACGCCUUAUCAUAACGCGUUCAUGUCUCGAGACUCUGGCGCCUUGGUUCGGCACGACCAUAUUCGAGCAGGGUGCUGCUAUGGGCAGAGUGGUCAGACGUGUAGUGGUCACUACGGAUGCUUCACUAUCAGGCUGGGGAGCCCUAUGCGAUGGCAGACCAGCAUUCGGUACGUGGACAGGGGACCAGACGCGCUGGCAUAUAAACUGCUUGGAGAUGGAAGCGGUUCAUCUAGCGCUGCAGAGUUUCCUUCCGUUUGUGAAACACCGUCAUGUUCUCAUCAGAACGGACAACACGGCGGUGGUGGCGUACAUCAAUCGCCAGGGAGGUUUGCGUUCGCGAUCCCUGCAGGGAUUAGCGAGACAGCUGCUGUUAUGGACGGACAGGGUACUUCUGUCGAUUCGAGCAGUGCACGUACCGGGCAGCUUGAAUUGCGGCGCGGACAUGCUGUCCAGGGACGGCAUUGUACACGGAGAAUGGAGGCUCCAUCCGCAAACGAUAAAUAUGAUCUGGAAUCUGUUUGGCAAAGCGGAGAUCGACCUCUUUGCGUCGCAAGAGAACGCCCACUGCCCUCUGUACUUCUCGCUGACAGCAUCCCCCCUGGGGGGAGACGCGCUGUCGAGCCGCUGGCCAAAGGGACGGAAGUAUGGUUUUCCCCCAGUCAAGUUAAUGCCGCUGGUGCUGCAGAAGAUCAGGGAGGAGAGAUGUGCGUUGAUCCUGGUAGCACCCAAAUGGCCCAACCAGCCGUGGUUCCCGGAACUGGUGAACAUGUCGCGGCUUCCCCCGUGGCGGAUCCCGCCGAGAAGGGACCUCUUAUCCCAGGCGAGGGGCACCAUAUGGCACCCCAACCCAGAGCUUUGGGAUCUGCAUGUGUGGCAGAUCAGCGUGGAUUAUAUCAGCGAGUGCUGCAGACAAUAGCAGAGGCUAGAGCCCCUUCGACGAGGCGUUUAUACACUCUGAAGUGGAAAGUAUUUGCUAACUGGUGUGUUGACAAAAAUGAGGACCCCAGGAGUUGCGAUAUCUCCAUUAUUCUGACCUUCCUACAGGAACGUCUGGAUGCUGGCAGUACCCCAUCUACAGUGAAAGUCUACGUGGCCGCUAUCGCCGUUUUUCGUGACUUGCUAGACGGCCAUUCAGUGGGGAGGCACCCCCUGAUAACGAGCUUUCUUCGGGGAGCUAGGCGGCUUAAUCCACCCCGCCUUCGUCAGAUGCCGGUCUGGGACCUGUCAUUAGUGCUUAGUGCGCUGUCCAACCCACCUUUUGAACCAGCCGAGUUAAGCGACCUUAAAGUGCUCUCAUUUAAGACGGCGCUACUGCUCGCGCUAGCUUGCGGGAAACGAGUGGGAGACUUGCAUGCCCUGUCAGUGAACAGCGCGUGUAUGCAGUUUGGACCGGACGAUUGUAUGGUCAGACUUUUACCCAAACGCGGUUAUUCGCCUAAAGUGCUCUCAACGCCGUUCAGAGCUCAGAUAAUUACAAUUCAAGCAUUUUGCCCCGAGGAGGACAGUAAUUCAGUGUCUCAGAAGUGCGCUUUGUGCCCCGUGCGUGCCCUGCGUGCAUAUGUGAACAGAACUAGCCAGUUUCGAACUUCAGAGCAGCUUUUCGUCUGCUACGCGGGUGCCAAGAAGGGCAGCGCGCUGUCGAAGCAGAGGCUAUCACACUGGAUAGUGGAGGCUGUGCGACUAGCUUAUGCUUCCCGGGGAACCGCCUGCCCAAUCGGGGUGCACGCCCACUCCACAAGGAGUUUGGCGUCGUCAUGGGGUUGGGCGAAAGGUAUGUCUAUUCAGGACAUUUGUUUCGCAGCGGGCUGGUCGUCUCGCAACACGUUUGCGAGAUUCUAUAAUCUGGACAUUCCCUCGUUCGCAUCACAUGUGCUGUCAGUGCAGGAGGAGGGAGUUGAGCAGUCUUUGGACUAA